rnacentral:rRNA from 1 species
ACGGGUGCGUAACGCGUGGGAAUCUGCCCCUUGGCUCGGAAUAACAGUUGGAAACGACUGCUAAUACCGGAUGACGACGUAAGUCCAAAGAUUUAUCGCCGAGGGAUGAGCCCGCGUAGGAUUAGGUAGUUGGUGUGGUAAAGGCGCACCAAGCCGACGAUCCUUAGCUGGUCUGAGAGGAUGAUCAGCCACACUGGGACUGAGACACGGCCCAGACUCCUACGGGAGGCAGCAGUGGGGAAUAUUGGACAAUGGGCGAAAGCCUGAUCCAGCAAUGCCGCGUGAGUGAUGAAGGCCUUAGGGUUGUAAAGCUCUUUUACCCGGGAUGAUAAUGACAGUACCGGGAGAAUAAGCUCCGGCUAACUCCGUGCCAGCAGCCGCGGUAAUACGGAGGGAGCUAGCGUUAUUCGGAAUUACUGGGCGUAAAGCGCACGUAGGCGGCUUUGUAAGUAAGAGGUGAAAGCCCAGAGCUCAACUCUGGAAUUGCCUUUUAGACUGCAUCGCUUGAAUCAUGGAGAGGUCAGUGGAAUUCCGAGUGUAGAGGUGAAAUUCGUAGA